rnacentral:rRNA from 2 species
UGGGGAAUUUUGCACAAUGGGGAAACCCUGAUGCAGCGACGCCGCGUGAUUUAGAAGGCCUUCGGGUUGUAAAAAUCUUUUCUAUGGGAAGAAAAUGACAGUACCAUAGGAAUAAGGACCGGCUAAUUACGUGCCAGCAGCCGCGGUAAUACGUAAGGUCCGAGCGUUGUCCGGAAUCAUUGGGCGUAAAGGGUACGUAGGCGGGUAAGCAAGUUAGAAGUGAAAUCCUAUAGCUCAACUAUAGUAAGCUUUUAAAACUGCUCAUCUUGAGGUAUGGAAGGGAAAGUGGAAUUCCUAGUGUAGCGGUGAAAUGCGCAGAUAUUAGGAGGAAUACCGGUGGCGAAGGCGACUUUCUGGCCAUAACCUGACGCUGAGGUACGAAAGCGUGGGUAGCAAACAGG